ensembl:lncRNA
AUGAUGUCAUCACCAACACAAGACUCUACAACAAGGACAAAGAGGAGCAAGAGAGUGAGAGACAGCAACAGAACGCUGAGGAGGAAAGAAGAAAACGUGAAGUACUAUUGUAACAGUACUGGGGAACCAUUGCCUAGUUUUGCCACUGACCAGACACGUUUUAUAAAAAAUAAUAUGGAAAGCAAGAUGCUUCAACUCAGCAUGACUGAAGUGAACAGUGCCCCUCUACCACCACUUUCUAGUGCAGCCAAGCUAUCCAAAGAUGCUUUAGCUGCAAAGGCCGUAUUUUCAACAAAGUGUAGUUCCACUGCUAGGGCAAAGGGGUCCAACUACCGUUCACAAGAUACAGGUGAAUCAUUGCCCAGAUUUGGAACUACUCAGACUCGGUCGAUGAAGCAACACAUGGAUCGCAACAAACUGGAGCUGAGCUACCAUGAAGCCAGUGAAGACAAGCUGAAGACAACCUGCCAACCAGCCGUUUCUAAGAAAGAAGUGUUGAAAUCGAAAGACCCUUCAAAGGAAGUAGCAGCAGGACGGCGUAAACUCCUUCCUAAAGAGGGUUCCAACUACUGUGGUAACACAGGGGAGUCUUUGCCCAGAUUCGGCACUACUCAGACUCGGUCGAUGAAGCAACACAUGGAUCGCAACAAACUGGAGCUGAGCUACCAUGAAGCCAGUGAAGACAAGCUGAAAACAACCUGCCAACCAGCCGUUUCUAAGAAAGAAGUGUUGAAAUCGAAAGACCCUUCAAAGGAAGUAGCAGCAGGACGGCGUAAACUCCUUCCUAAAGAGGGUUCCAACUACUGUGGUAACACAGGGGAGUCUUUGCCCAGAUUCGGCACUACUCAGACUCGGUCGAUGAAGCAACACAUGGAUCGCAACAAACUGGAGCUGAGCUACCAUGAAGCCAGUGAAGACAAGCUGAAGACAACCUGCCAACCAGCCGUUUCUAAGAAAGAAGUGUUGAAAUCUAAAGACCCUUCAAAGGAAGUAGCAGCAGGACGGCGUAAACUCCUUCCUAAAGAGGGUUCCAACUACUGUGGUAACACAGGGGAGUCUUUGCCCAGGUUUGGCACUCAUCAGACUCGGUCCAUGAAACAUCACUUGGAUCGCAACAAGCUGGAGCUGAGCUACGAGGAAACCAGUAAGGUCAAGCUGGAGCCAACCUGCCUCCCAGCUAUUUCCAAGAAAGAAAUGUUAAAAUCGACGAUCCUUUCAAAGGAUGUAGCAGCAGGACGGCGUAACCCCCUUCCUAAAGAGGGUUCCAACUACUGUGGUAACACAGGGGAGUCUUUGCCAAGAUUCGGCACUACUCAGACUCGGUCAGUGAAGCAACACUUGGAUCGCAACAAACUGGACCUGAGCUACCGUGAAGCCAGGGAAGUCAAGCUGAAGACAACCUGCCAACCAGCUGUUUCCAAGAAAGAAGUGUUGAAAUCGAAAGACCCUUCAAAGGAAGUAGCAGCAGGACGGCGUAGCCUCCUUCCUAAAGAGGGUUCCAACUACUGUGGUAACACAGGGGAGUCUUUGCCCAGAUUCGGCACUACUCAGACGCGGUCAGUGAAGCAACACUUGGAUCGCAACAAACUGGACCUGAGCUACCGUGAAGCCAGGGAAGUCAAGCUGAAGACAACCUGCCAACCAGCUGUUUCCAAGAAAGAAGUGUUGAAAUCCAAAGACCCUUCAAAGGAAGUAGCAGCAGGACGGCGUAAACUCCUUCCUAAAGAGGGUUCCAACUACUGUGGUAACACAGGGGAGUCUUUGCCCAGAUUCGGCACUACUCAGACUCGGUCAGUGAAGCAACACUUGGAUCGCAACAAACUGGACCUGAGCUACCAUGAAGCCAGGGAAGUCAAGCUGAAGACAACCUACCAACCAGCUAUUUCCAAGAAGGAAGUGUUGAAAUCGAAAGACCCUUCAAAGGAAGUAGCAGCAGGACGGCGUAACCUCCUUCCUAAAGAGAGUUCCAACUACUGUGGUAACACAGGGGAGUCUUUGCCCAGAUUCGGCACUACUCAGACUCGGUCAGUGAAGCAACACUUGAAUCGCAACAAACUGGACCUGAGCUACCAUGAAGCCAGUGAAGUCAAGCGGAAGACAACCUGCCAACCAGCUAUUUUCAAGAAAGGAGAGUAA